UGUAGGGUUAGAGCAAAGAGGAGAGAAAAGCGAAAUUGGUGAAAUCAAACAAUUGAGUAACAAAUCUAAAAAUGGUGAAAUUUCAAACAACGAUGUUAGAUAAUCCGAAAAAUUAUGGCUCGAAUGGCUCGAAAUAUCUAAAACAAUGUCGUUUUGACACAUUCGAACCAUUCGAGUCACAAAAAUUCGGACAACCAAACAUUUUUCAAUUUCAAAUUGAGCGAACAAUUGAUGAAAUUGAGCAAAGAUUCCUACAAAUCUGAAAUUGGUGAAAUUUUUUCGCGGAACAAAGAGGAGGGAAAAAUGAAGCAAGGGUUUAUCAUUUUUCAUCUUUCGCGCCAUCUUUAUCCACCAUCUACAUCACAAAUUUACCGUCUUUUCAUCUUCCUGUUCUAUUUCUCACUCUCACACACACAUGCAAACACACACAAUACCUCUCUCUUUUCUCUUAUUUAUGAUCUUGUUUUAGAUUGAUGGAAUUGGAGUUUUUGAAUAUCUUGUAUUCAUUUGAUCAAUUGAACAAGUGGAGAACGGUUGGAAGAAGAUUCAAGUGGAGACUGAUUGCCAAAAAGCUGUAGAGCUGCUGCUCAAAGGUGCACUUGGAGAGUUCCCAUUAAGAGCUCUAAUUGAAGAUUCUAGAUUCAUGUUGCAAAGAACUGGCUCAUGGGUAAAACACAUUAAUAGUGAGGCCAACCAAUGUGCUGAUGCUUUAGCAAAAAUAGGUGUAGACUAAGUGGAAAAUUUUGUGGUCACUGAGGACCCUCUUGCCUAGAUGAGGUAUUUGCUAAUAGCUGAUAUGCUAGGUGUUGGGUAUGAGAGGGUUUAGCCGUCUUUCUGUUUUUUGUACCUGAAAAAAAAAACAAAUAGUAGAAUUGUGUAAUAGCAGAGCUAGUGCAGAAAAACUUUGACUUGUGUAAUAGUUUAGUUGAGUUAAUUCCCAUGAAAAGUAUGCUUACCUUCCUUCA